rnacentral:rRNA from 1 species
CCUACGGGAUGCAGCAGUGGGGAAUAUUGCACAAUGGGCGCAAGCCUGAUACAGCCAUGCCGCGUGUAUGAAGAAGGCCUUCGGGUUGUAAAGUACUUUCAGCGGGGAGGAAGGUGUUGAGGUUAGUAACCUCAGCAAUUGACGUUACCCGCAGAAGAAGCACCGGCUAACUCCGUGCCAGCAGCCGCGGUAAUACGGAGGGUGCAAGCGUUAAUCGGAAUUACUGGGCGUAAAGCGCACGCAGGCGGUCUGUCAAGUCGGAUGUGAAAUCCCCGGGCUCAACCUGGGAACUGCAUUCGAAACUGGCAGGCUAGAGUCUUGUAGAGGGGGGUAGAAUUCCAGGUGUAGCGGUGAAAUGCGUAGAGAUCUGGAGGAAUACCGGUGGCGAAGGCGGCCCCCUGGACAAAGACUGACGCUCAGGUGCGAAAGCGUGGGGAGCAAACAGGAUUAGAUACCCCGGUAGUC